rnacentral:rRNA from 1 species
GACGAACGCUGGCGGCGUGCUUAACACAUGCAAGUCGAACGGUGAUGCUCCAGCUUGCUGGCGCGGAUCAGUGGCGAACGGGUGAGUAACACGUGAGCAACCUGCCCCAGACUCUGUAAUAAGCGUUGGAAACGGCGUCUAAUACUGGAUACGAAACUGGCCCGCAUGGGCUUGGUUUGGAAAGUUUUUCGGUUUGGGAUGGGCUCGCGGCCUACCAGCUUGUUGGUGAGGUAAUGGCUCACCAAGGUGACGACGGGUAGCCGGCCUGAGAGGGCGACCGGCCACACUGGGACUGAGAGACGGCCCAGACUCCUACGGGAGGCAGCAGUGGGGAAUAUUGCGCAGUGGGCGAAAGCCUGAUGCGGCGACGCCGCGUGAGGGAUGACGGCCUUCGGGUUGUAAACCUCUUUCAGCGGGGAAGAAGCGAAAGUGACGGUACCUGAAGAGGAAGCACCGGCUAACUACGUG